rnacentral:rRNA from 1 species
UGCGUAGGCGGUUUCUAAGUCACGUGUGAAAUCUUCCGGCUCAACCGGAAAACUGCGCGUGAGACUGGAUAACUUGAGUGAGGUAGGGGUGUGUGGAACUUCCGGUGGAGCGGUGAAAUGUGUAGAGAUCGGAAGGAACGCCAGCAGCGAAAGCGGCACACUGGGCCUUUUCUGACGCUGAGGCACGAAAGCUAGGGGAGUGAACG